AGUGGUGGUGGCAACGGGUGAAUCAGUUUUGGAACAAACACCAAUCCCCUGCCGAUCACUAGUAAAGGUCCAGCAUUAUUAGCAGUCCCUAAAUCCAAUUAGCACAAUUAAACUAUUCAUUAAGACAAACAACCAAUGCACUGAACCAGAAAAAAACCAAAACUUACCACAAUAGUUUGUCGCAGAGAAAAGGGUAAUUAACUGUCCGUGAACAAAUCGCUCGAACCCAUUCAUUACACAUUCGUGUGCUCUUAUAAUCAACUAAAGUUUGUUUCUAUUACAGAUGUCUGUAACCCUGUCAGGCUGCAAGUAGUUACAAUUCAUUAUGGUAUAUCAAAGAUCACAGAAUGGGUGACCAGUGGGUCAUAUUGAGUUCCGCAUGUUGGUACCUUGAUGACGGUGAAACUCCAGGUGCAAGAGUCCAUACACAUAAACGCUAUAAAACAUACACAUAAACGCUAAGUCCUACCACGCCUGAAGUGUCUCUUCCACCACAAAGCAAAAACAUACCAUCCGAGCGAGCACCAGCUGUAGCAUACCUGAGAAGAGUAAAAUACAAACAGAUUAACAUGCAUAUAAUGCACAAGUAAAGCUACAAUGUAUAAAUAUAACAUCAUUAUAAACUCUUCAUACAGAGCCACUUGACAAGCUCCAAUACUGUACUCGCAAUUUAAAUACAUCCUUACAUUCUAGCUGAAGGUUUAUCUCCUUCUGUAUUC
rnacentral:lncRNA from 1 species